rnacentral:rRNA from 1 species
GAUGAACGCUGGCGGCGUGCCUAAUACAUGCAAGUCGAGCGAACGGACGAGAAGCUUGCUUCUCUGAUGUUAGCGGCGGACGGGUGAGUAACACGUGGAUAACCUACCUAUAAGACUGGGAUAACUUCGGGAAACCGGAGCUAAUACCGGAUGAUAUUUUGAACCGCAUGGUUCAAAAGUGAAAGACGGUCUUGCUGUCACUUAUAGAUGGAUCCGCGCUGCAUUAGCUAGUUGGUAAGGUAACGGCUUACCAAGGCAACGAUGCAUAGCCGACCUGAGAGGGUGAUCGGCCACACUGGAACUGAGACACGUUCCAGACUCCUACGGGAGGCAGCAGUAGGGAAUCUUCCGCAAUGGGCGAAAGCCUGACGGAGCAACGCCGCGUGAGUGAUGAAGGUCUUCGGAUCGUAAAACUCUGUUAUUAGGGAAGAACAUAUGUGUAAGUAACUGUGCACAUCUUGACGGUACCUAAUCAGAAAGCCACGGCUAACUACGUG